UUGAACGCUGGCGGCAUGCUUUACACAUGCAAGUCGAACGGUAACAGGCCGCAAGGUGCUGACGAGUGGCGAACGGGUGAGUAAUGCAUCGGAACGUGCCCAGUCGUGGGGGAUAACUACUCGAAAGAGUAGCUAAUACCGCAUACGAUCUAUGGAUGAAAGCGGGGGACCGUAAGGCCUCGCGCGAUUGGAGCGGCCGAUGUCAGAUUAGGUAGUUGGUGGGGUAAAGGCUCACCAAGCCAACGAUCUGUAGCUGGUCUGAGAGGACGACCAGCCACACUGGGACUGAGACACGGCCCAGACUCCUACGGGAGGCAGCAGUGGGGAAUUUUGGACAAUGGGCGCAAGCCUGAUCCAGCAACGCCGCGUGCAGGAAGAAGGCCUUCGGGUUGUAAACUGCUUUUGUACGGAACGAAACGGCUCUGGUUAAUACCCGGGGCUAAUGACGGUACCGUAAGAAUAAGCACCGGCUAACUACGUG
rnacentral:rRNA from 1 species